rnacentral:rRNA from 1 species
AUUGAACGCUGGCUGCAGGCCUAACACAUGCAAGUCGAGCGAGCGGCGGACGGGUGAGUAAUGUAUGGGGAUCUGCCCGAUAGAGGGGGAUAACUACUGGAGACGGUGGCUAAUCCCCCAUACUAUCGGAUGAACCCAUAUGGGAUUAGCGAGUAGGUGGGGUAAAGGCUCACCUAGGCGACGAUCCCUAGCUGGUCUGAGAGGAUGAUCAGCCAAACUGGGACUGAGACACGGCCCAGAGCCCUACGGGAGGCAGCAGUGGGGAAGAUUGCGCAAGGGGCGCAAGCAUGAUGCAGUCAUGCCGCGUGUAUGAGGAAGGCCUUAGGGGUGUAAAGUACUUUAAGCGCGGAGGCGUUCCCCGAAGAAGAAGCACCGGCUAACUCCGUGCCAGCAGCCGCGGUAAUAC